UUACGUUGUUAUCCCUAAGGUAAUUUAAUCUUAUAAUCAAAAUAAAUGGAUCAAAAAUAUAUACAUAAAUAUAUAAAAACAAAGAGGAGUUAAAUAAUAUUCCUCCCAUCACCCCAACAAAACAAUCUAUUCCCACUCAAUGUAACAAAAACAAACAACGAACAAAUAAGAAAAUUGUCAAACUCUAUAGGGUCUUCUCGUCCCAUAAAAACAUUUAAGAAUUUUAACUCAAAAACCAAAUUCAACUAAACCAAUACCUCUAAGACAGCUUAUGUCUCGUCAAGCCAUUCAUACCAGAUCACAAUUAAAGAACUAAUGAUUAUGCUACCUUUGCACGGUCAAAAUACCGCGGCCCUUCAACUUUUAAGGCAGUGGGCAGGCCAUACUUCAAAAACUAACAAGAAAAGAUGUUUUUGAUAAACAGGCG
rnacentral:rRNA from 1 species